ACCAGGCACAGUGGUGCAUGCCUGUAGUCCCAGCUACUCGGAAGGCUGAGGUGGGAGGAUCACUUGAGUCCAGAAGUUCUGGGCUAUAGUGCCCUAUGCCAAUUGGGUGUCCACACUAAGUUUGGCAUAUGGUGACCUUCCAGGAGUGGGGGACCACCAGGUUGCUUAAGGAAGGGUGGACCGGCCCAGGUCGGAAACAGAGCAGGUCAAAACUCCUAUGCUGAUCAGUAGUAGGAUCGCACCUGUGAAUAGCCACUGCACUCCAGCCUGGGCAACAUAGCAAGACCUUGUCUCUU
ensembl:misc_RNA Metazoa_SRP Metazoan signal recognition particle RNA